rnacentral:lncRNA from 1 species
UGAACCAUCCGCAAAAUAAUGCAGUGUUUCUAUAAACAAACUGCCAUGUAACAAAUUCACAGUCAUAUAACAUUCAAUACUCGACAACAUUCAAUACAACAUAUAACAUUCACAAUCAUAUAUAAACAAAUUGCCCAGUACCAGUCACAAUUGCCACAAUUCACAAUUAUAUAUAAACAAAUUCACAGUCAUAUAUAAACAAACUGCCCAGUACCAGUCACAUAUAUAAACAAAUUCACAGUCAUAUAUAAACAAAUUCACAAUCAUAUAUAAACAAAUGCACAACACCAGUCACAAAUUCACAAUUGCAUAUUCACAAUCAUAUAUAAACAAACUGUCCAGUACGAGUAACAAUGUGCACAAUUGCACAGUCACAUAUAUAAACAAAUUCAUAGUCAUAUAUAAACAAAUUCACAAUUAUAUAUAAACAAACUGCCCAGUACCAAUCACAAAUUCACAAUUGCACAUUCACAAUCAUAUAUAAACAAACUGCCCAGUACCACUCACAAGGUGCACAAUUGCACAUUCACAAUCAUAUAUAAACAAACUGCCCAGUACCACUCACAAUUGCACAAUCAUAUAUAAACAAACUGCCUAGUACCAGUCACAAUUGCACAAUCCUAUAACAUUCAGACAUCAUUUUUUACGACAGUGGACUCAAUCAUAGAA